GAUGAACGCUGGCGGCGUGCCUAAUACAUGCAAGUCGAGCGAACAGACGAGGUGCUUGCUCCUCUGACGUUAGCGGCGCACGGGUGAGUAACACGUGGAUAACCUACCUAUAAGACUGGGAUAACUUCGGGAAACCGGAGCUAAUACCGCAUAAUAUCUUUAACCACAUGGUUCAAUAUUGAAAGACGGUUUUGCUGUCACUUAUAUAUGGAUCCGCGCCGCAUUAUCUAGUUGGUAAGGUAACGGCUUACCAAGGCGACGAUGCGUAGCCAACCUGAGAGGGGGUUCGCCCACACUGGAACUAAGAGACGGCCCAGACUCCUACGGGGGGCAGCAGUAGGGAACCUUCAGCAAUGGGGGAAAGCCUGACGGAGCAACGCCGGGUGGGUGAUGAAGGUCUUCGGAUGGUAAAGCUCGGUUAUUAGGGAAGAACAAAUGUGUAAGUAACUAUGCACGUCUUGACGGUACCUAAUCAGAAAGCGACGGCUAACUACGUG
rnacentral:rRNA from 1 species